rnacentral:lncRNA from 1 species
GUACCGGUACUCGGUUUCCAGUACCUCAAAACCUGAACGUUGGAUAUCCAAUUUUCUACUGCAUACCAGUACUCGGUUUUCAAUACCGAUACCAAAUACAAAUCUAGUUCCGGUACUCAGGUUUGAUUCCUCAAAACCCGACAGCUUAUUUUUCUCAUUUUGUAUUGUGUACCGGUAAUCAGAUUCUAGCGCCGGUACUCAAAACAAAAUCUGCAACUUAGACAGAUUUCAUC